AAACCAAAAACGGAGAACACUCUCUCCCUAAGA
rnacentral:tRNA from 1 species